rnacentral:rRNA from 1 species
UAAGCAUAUCAAUAAGCGGAGGAAAAGAAACUAACAAGGAUUCCCCUAGUAACUGCGAGUGAAGCGGGAAAAGCUCAAAUUUAAAAUCUGGCGGUCUUUGGCCGUCCGAGUUGUAGUCUGGAGAAGCGUCUUCCGCGUUGGACCGUGUACAAGUCUCUUGGAACAGAGCGUCAUAGAGGGUGAGAAUCCCGUCUUUGACACGGACUACCAAUGCUUUGUGAUGCGCUCUCAAAGAGUCGCGUUGUUUGGGAAUGCAGCGCAAAAUGGGAGGUGAAUUCCUUCUAAAGCUAAAUAUUGGCGAGAGACCGAUAGCGAACAAGUACCGUGAGGGAAAGAUGAAAAGCACUUUGGAAAGAGAGUUAAACAGUACGUGAAAUUGCUGAAAGGGAAACGCUUGAAGUCAGUCGCGUCGUCCGGAACUCAGCCUUGCUUCGGCUUGGUGCACUUUCCGGUUGACGGGCCAGCAUCGAUUUUGACCGCUGGAAAAGGGCUGGAGGAAUGUGGCACCUUCGGGUGUGUUAUAGCCUUCAGUCGCAUACAGCGGUUGGGAUCGAGGAACGCAGCACGCCUUAUGGCUGGGGUUCGCCCACAUUCGUGCUUAGGAUGCUGGCAUAAUGGCUUUAAACGACCCGUCUUGAAACACGGACCAAGGAGUCUAACAUGCCUGCGAGUGUUUGGGUGGAAAACCCGAGCGCGUAAUGAAAGUGAAAGUUGAGACCUCUGUCGUGGAGGGCAUCGACGCCCGGACCUGAAGUUUUCUGACGGAUCCGCGGUAGAGCAUGUAUGUUGGGACCCGAAAGAUGGUGAACUAUGCCUGAAUAGGGUGAAGCCAGAGGAAACUCUGGUGGAGGCUCGUAGCGAUUCUGACGUGCAAAUCGAUCGUCAAAUUUGGUAUAGGGCGAAAGACUAAUCGAACCAUCUAGUAGCUGGUUCCUGCCGA